AAAGUCGUAACAAGGUUUCCGUAGGUGAACCUGCGGAAGGAUCAUCGUCGUUGGUGUUUGUGGGGGGUGUGCAUCUAACUUUUGGAUCCCAACCAGGAGGAGAGGAGUUGACUGAGGGCUGUUUGUGGAGAAAAAGGACAAAACUUUCAACAACGGAUCUCUUGGCUCUC
rnacentral:misc_RNA from 1 species